rnacentral:rRNA from 1 species
AGACGUCUACAUUAGACUACCCCCGUAGUCCCAGCCCUAAACGAUGCGCGUUAGGUGUAUCGGUGACCACGAGUCACCGAGGUGCCGAAGGGAACCGUGAAACGUGCCGCCUGGGAAGUACGGUCGCAAGGCUGAAACUUAAAGGAAUUGGCGGGGAGCACCACAACGGGUGGAGCCUGCGGUUUAAUUGGACUCAACGCCGGGAAGCUCACCGGAUAAGACAGCGGAAUGAUUGCCGGGCUGAAGACUCUGCAUGACUAGCUG